rnacentral:rRNA from 1 species
AAAUUGAAGAGUUUGAUCAUGGCUCAGAUUGAACGCUGGCGGCAGGCCUAACACAUGCAAGUCGAACGGUAACAGGAAGCAGCUUGCUGUUUCGCUGACGAGUGGCGGACGGGUGAGUAAUGUCUGGGAAACUGCCUGAUGGAGGGGGAUAACUACUGGAAACGGUAGCUAAUACCGCAUAACGUCGCAAGACCAAAGAGGGGGACCUUCGGGCCUCUUGCCAUCGGAUGUGCCCAGAUGGGAUUAGCUAGUAGGUGGGGUAACGGCUCACCUAGGCGACGAUCCCUAGCUGGUCUGAGA